rnacentral:misc_RNA from 1 species
GAUGAAGAACGUAGCGAAAUGCGAUACGUAAUGUGAAUUGCAGAAUUCAGUGAAUCAUCGAAUCUUUGAACGCAUAUUGCGCUCUUUGGUAUUCCGAAGAGCAUGCUUGUUUGAGUAUCAGUAAACACCUCAACCUCUUCUUGAUUUUUCAAAAGGAGGGUGGACUUGAGCUAUCCCAACAACCUUUACCGGUCGGCGGGCGGCUUGAAAUGCAGGUGCAGCUGGACUUUUAUCUGAGCUAAAAGCAUAUCUAUUUAGUCCUCGUCAAACAGGAUUAUUACUUUUGCUGCAGCUAACAUAAAGGAUAAUUGUCCUCUUUGCUGACUGAUGCAGGAUUUUACGACACUUUAUGUGUUGUUCAACUCGAUCUCAAAGCAAGUAAGACUACCCGCUGAACUUAAGCAUAUCAAUAAGCGGAGGA